AUUAUAAUGUUAGCAUUCCAAUUGUUAUUGCUUGUAUGGGAAAUCUGUUUCACAAACUAAACUGUUUUGAAAUUUCCAGAAUUAUAGUAGUACUUGAGUUUGCUGAUGAAUUGCUCAUACUUAUUAUUUUGCUGGUUGAUUCACUUGUGACUGAAUAUAGAGUUGCAAGAGACAAAGAAUCUGAUAUUGAAGGAUGGUCGAUUUUAUCAGCAUUUUGGUUUGAUGAAAGCUUGAGAUAUCCGCCUCCAUUGUUCUACCAUGUAUAAAAGUAAAGUUGACAUUCCUAGUUGAAGAAUCUUGUUUAGUUGAAGAAGGCUGACUGGUCGAAUAAAUUGGCAAAAAUGAGUAAUCGUGUUUGAAGACCUAAAGCAUCUGUGUGGAUACUCCCUUGUCUCGAAGCGUUUUGCUUCGGCUAUUUGUGAUUUGAAAUCGGUUCAUUUGACUCUUCCUAGUACUACACACUCUAUUGAAUCAACUGAUGAAAUCUGUGAGCUUCUCCCUAAGCUGGCAGGCUUUACCAGUGAAGAAACGAUUGAAUUCAUUACGUCAUCACCUAUUAAGGAGUUGGCCUUCUUGUCAUUCCUUGGGAACUUCAGGGAACUCACAUCUAUUUCAUUGGACUUCACAUGUCCUCGCAGCAUCUGCAGUUCCUCACUUUUGAAAGUGUGGGUGAAAUUCGGCAGCGGUGGAGCCAUGGUGGAACUCAUUCUAGAACAACCAGCUUUUGUGCCUGGCGAGGCUUCUUCAUCUGAUGAGUCUUCUUCAUCUGAUGACGAGGACUCAGACGAUGCACUAACAGACAGGAAUGCGUAAUGAGACACAAUCUCUCUUUGGAUGUUGCUGUGUUUGGUUACUUGUGCUGUGUUUGCUCAAAAAAUGCCACCCUUCGCUUGAGAGUGUCACCAUCACAAAUAGCGAGAAAGAGGGGAGACUAUUUGUGAGCAAUAUGAAUCUUCUUUUCCGGAUAUUAAAGUCGAAAGAAGCAGAACCAGGCUCAUUGAAUCAGACACUUGCUUGGUUGUUAGACUUGCCAAAUUAAAAGAUUGAUUUGCGUCGAGUGUGUUUGUGUGUGUGUGCUUGUAGAAAUUUAUGAAGUCUAUUUAUAGAUGAAGUUUAGGUCUCUUUGGUUGGAUGGUUUAUCCAUCGUUA